rnacentral:lncRNA from 1 species
GUGGGAGAUUAACAGCGGUGCUGAAUAAAUAGGGCACAGGUUUCACGAGAGGCACUCGCCUAUCUUGCUGGGACCACUCGUGGGGAUUUCUUGUCUCUUGUCCCUCCUGCACCGUGUUGCAGAACGUUACAGGGUCUGUGGCGUUUCGUGGGGUUGCUGUUCGGUUCCCCUUGCCUGUGCGGCCCAAUAUCCCAGCUGUCGUGAGCUUCUCUCCUCGUCUUCCUGGCCUGCUCGUCCAAUCUCUGCUAGCUGUCAAGUUGGACUACUUGCUCGAGGCUUCUGCUCGGGGUGCCUGCGUGUGUAUUUGAAUGCUAGUGCAUGUCGUGGUGUUUGGGUGCUUCUCGUUGUUUUGUCGUUUUGUUUGUAUGUUUGUAUGUUUGUAUGUUUGUAUGCUAGAAUAAGCGUUGGUGGCUCUGUCGCUUGCUGGCUUCCUCCCCUGCUUGUGGCUAAAUGUAUCCCGCUCUAGUUGUGUAAUUCCCUUUUUUUUUUUAAUGCGUGUGCAGUGUUAUUUUCAUAGUUUGGUUAAGUUUAUAUCUUGUGAUUUGCAGUGAAAAAAGCAUGUUUUGUUUUUGUACAGGGAUUUUUCACCAAGGAAGUAGGGCAUUCGUCGGGGUAAGCAAGGUAGCUUGAAUAGGAAGUCACCUUGCAUACUUGUGGAUCCAUGAAUUGCUAUACUCUGUGUAUUUGAAGGUAGACAAAUAAAUUAUCUUUUGUAUCAGAUGAACCUUGCGUCUCCCCUCCAUUCUUCAGAUUAUUAAGUAUAACUUGGCUAUUUCACAUGUGGGUGCGUGGACAGUAUACGCGCUAUAUGCACGUGGAUUCGAGUUCCGAGUUCAUCAAAUUUGC